rnacentral:rRNA from 1 species
GAUGAACGCUGGCGGCGUGCCUAAUACAUGCAAGUCGAGCGAACGGACGAGAAGCUUGCUUCUCUGAUGUUAGCGGCGGACGGGUGAGUAACACGUGGAUAACCUACCUAUAAGACUGGGAUAACUUCGGGAAACCGGAGCUAAUACCGGAUAAUAUUUUGAACCGCAUGGUUCAAAAGUGAAAGACGGUCUUGCUGUCACUUAUAGAUGGAUCCGCGCUGCAUUAGCUAGUUGGUAAGGUAACGGCUUACCAAGGCAACGAUGCAUAGCCGACCUGAGAGGGUGAUCGGCCACACUGGAACUGAGACACGGUCCAGACUCCUACGGGAGGCAGCAGUAGGGAAUCUUCCGCAAUGGGCGAAAGCCUGACGGAGCAACGCCGCGUGAGUGAUGAAGGUCUUCGGAUCGUAAAACUCUGUUAUCAGGGAAGAACAUAUGUGUAAGUAACUGUGCACAUCUUGACGGUACCUAAUCAGAAAGCCACGGCUAACUACGUGCCAGCAGCCGCGGUAAUACGUAGGUGGCAAGCGUUAUCCGGAAUUAUUGGGCGUAAAGCGCGCGUAGGCGGUUUUUUAAGUCUGAUGUGAAAGCCCACGGCUCAACCGUGGAGGGUCAUUGGAAACUGGAAAACUUGAGUGCAGAAGAGGAAAGUGGAAUUCCAUGUGUAGCGGUGAAAUGCGCAGAGAUAUGGAGGAACACCAGUGGCGAAGGCGACUUUCUGGUCUGUAACUGACGCUGAUGUGCGAAAGCGUGGGGAUCAAACAGGAUUAGAUACCCUGGUAGUCCACGCCGUAAACGAUGAGUGCUAAGUGUUAGGGGGUUUCCGCCCCUUAGUGCUGCAGCUAACGCAUUAAGCACUCCGCCUGGGGAGUACGACCGCAAGGUUGAAACUCAAAGGAAUUGACGGGGACCCGCACAAGCGGUGGAGCAUGUGGUUUAAUUCGAAGCAACGCGAAGAACCUUACCAAAUCUUGACAUCCUUUGACAACUCUAGAGAUAGAGCUUUCCCCUUCGGGGGACAAAGUGACAGGUGGUGCAUGGUUGUCGUCAGCUCGUGUCGUGAGAUGUUGGGUUAAGUCCCGCAACGAGCGCAACCCUUAAGCUUAGUUGCCAUCAUUAAGUUGGGCACUCUAAGUUGACUGCCGGUGACAAACCGGAGGAAGGUGGGGAUGACGUCAAAUCACCAUGCCCCUUAUGAUUUGGGCUACACACGUGCUACAAUGGACAAUACAAAGGGCAGCGAAACCGCGAGGUCAAGCAAAUCCCAUAAAGUUGUUCUCAGUUCGGAUUGUAGUCUGCAACUCGACUACAUGAAGCUGGAAUCGCUAGUAAUCGUAGAUCAGCAUGCUACGGUGAAUACGUUCCCGGGUCU